CAGAGGUCUCAAGCGUUAUUCGGAUUCAUUGGGCGUAAAGGGUGCGUAGGUGGCGAUGUAAGUCUGGUGUGAAAUCUCGGAGCUUAACUCCGAAACUGCAUUGGAUACUGCGUUGCUCGAGGAUUGUAGAGGAGAGUGGAAUUCACGGUGUAGCAGUGAAAUGCGUAGAUAUCGUGAGGAAGACCAGUUGCGAAGGCGACUCUCUGGGCAAUUCCUGACACUGAGGCACGAAGGCCAGGGGAGCAAACGGGAUUAGAUACCCCGGUAGUCCUGGCAGUAAACGGUGCACGUUUGGUGUGGGCAGGUUCAGACCCUGUCCGUGCCGGAGCUAACGCGUUAAACGUGCCGCCUGGGAAGUACGGUCGCAAAGAUUAA
rnacentral:rRNA from 1 species